rnacentral:rRNA from 1 species
AUGGACGAAAGUCUGACGGAGCAACGCCGCGUGAGUGAUGAAGGCUUUUCGGGUCGUAAAACUCUGUUGUUAGGGAAGAACAAGUGCUAGUUGAAUAAGCUGGCACCUUGACGGUACCUAACCAGAAAGCCACGGCUAACUACGUGCCAGCAGCCGCGGUAAUACGAUU